UCCGAGUUGACCCCGGCAGUCUCCCAUGAGUCCCCAACCCCUCCGAAGAGAGUUGCUGGCAACAUGGAACGAGGGUUGCGCUCGUUGCGGGACUUAACCCAACAUCUCACGACACGAGCUGACGACAGCCAUGCACCACCUGUACACCGACAAAAAGGGGCACCAUCUCUGGCGCUUUCCGGCGUAUGUCAAACCCAGGUAAGGUGGGGAUGACGUGUCG
rnacentral:misc_RNA from 1 species